rnacentral:rRNA from 1 species
AUUGAACGCUGGCGGCAGGCUUAACACAUGCAAGUCGAACGAUGAAGAUAUAGCUUGCUAUAUCGGAUUAGUGGCGGACGGGUGAGUAACACUUAGGAAUCUACCUUUUAGCGGGGGAUAGCUCGGGGAAACUCGAAUUAAUACCGCAUAAUUUCUACGGAAUAAAGAGGGCUUUUAGCUCUCACUAGAAGAUGAGCCUAAGUAAGAUUAGCUAGUUGGUGGGGUAAAAGCCUACCAAGGCGACGAUCUUUAGCUGGUCUGAGAGGAUGAUCAGCCACACUGGGACUGAGACACGGCCCAGACUCCUACGGGAGGCAGCAGUGGGGAAUAUUGGACAAUGGGGGCAACCCUGAUCCAGCCAUGCCGCGUGUGUGAAGAAGGCCUUUUGGUUGUAAAGCACUUUAAGCAGUGAAGAAGACCUAUUGGUUAAUACCCAAUAGUGAUGACAUUAACUGCAGAAUAAGCACCGGCUAACUCUGUGCCAGCAGCCGCGGUAAUACAGAGGGUGCAAGCGUUAAUCGGAAUUACUGGGCGUAAAGCGAGCGUAGGUGGUUAAAUAAGUCAGAUGUGAAAGCCCUGGGCUCAACCUAGGAACGGCAUCUGAAACUAUUUAACUAGAGUAGGUGAGAGGGAAGUAGAAUUUCAGGUGUAGCGGUGAAAUGCGUAGAGAUCUGAAGGAAUACCGAUGGCGAAGCAGCUUCCUGGCAUCAUACUGACACUGAGGCUCGAAAGCGUGGGUAGCAAACAGG